UGCGAUAGAAGAGGAUUUCUCAAGGGUGGUUAGCACAUUCCCAUCAGAAAGGGGGUGAUGCUUAAUGACAGUAUUUGAAACAUUCAUGAUUACGUUUGCAUUUGCAAGCCUGAUUGUAGCCGUUCUGUCAUUUAACCAAAAAAAAUAAUCCACCCUUGAGUUUUAGCAGCCCUGGGUGGAUUACUUCCGCUUAAUGCUGAUUCCCUUGCAGGGAACCUGCUAUUGCAUUGACCGUGUGGUGUUAAUGGCACCAGCG
rnacentral:sRNA from 1 species